rnacentral:rRNA from 1 species
GUAGUGGCGAACGAAAAGGAAGGAGCCCAGCGCAGAACGUUCCGGGGCACUCGCCCUGAGAAUGAAUGUUGCGUUAAGGAUAUUGGCAUACACCCAUGGCAGUUACACUUUGCUAAGUCAGCCUCGAAUGGUUCUCGUGAAGCCGGUAACACGGUGAGACUCCAGGGAGGGUGUUAGACCCGUGUGAAGGUGCAAUCUGCUUGGGCAAGCCGAUAUCCCGAGAGUCGCGUUGUUUGAACAUGCAGCGCUAAGCAGGUCGUAGACUCGAUCUAAGGCUAAAUAUGUCCACAGAACCGAUAGUUAACAAGUACCGUGAGGGAAAGUUGAAAAGCACUCCGUAACGGAGAGUCAAAAGACCGUGAAACCACUCAGAGUAUAAGCCAAUGGUGUCUGGAAGGUCCUGUGCUUACAUCUUGGUGUCAAGGACUCAUGCGAACCUCAGCACUUGCGGGAGCAAUCUCCGUUGCUUUGGUAAGCUUGUCCGCUGAAGCACUCCGUUGACCCACCUGGCUCGUUGUGAGGUGUCCUGAGAGCAAAGCGAAGUGUUAAGAUUGGCUUGGAGUUGGGCGUGGGCGUCUCGAUGCCUUUCGCACUCUCCUUUUCGAGCACUUCUUCAGUUCUAUUCGCACAAAGUGUGGUAGUCUUGGAGUGUGCGCUGCUUGACGCUCUCUGGAACCAUCCUCUGCGACGAAGCUUCAAUGCCUUAGUGAGCGGCCGUCUUCCUCCUCGGGAGUCGGUACAUUGGCGCGGCUUGCACACUGUCGGUGCUCCGCUGUUCAACUCUGGCGCAAGGUGUUACGUCCGAUACCAUUGGUCACGUCUCGAAACACGGGCCAAGGAGUAUAGCGUGUGUGCAAGUCUAAGGGUUCCACAAAACCUGGAGGCGUAGUGAAAGCGAGUUAUGGUGUCUCACUGGACUGAUGGAGAAGGCAGUGAUGCGUGAUCCCGCAAGUCCCGGACUCGUCGUCUGCACUGCUUCGGUUGUGUUAGCGCGAGCACCGCAGAGCACAUACGCUAUGACCCGAAAGAUAGUGAACUAUGCUUGGCGAGGGUGAAGCCCCAGGAAACUGGGGUGGAGGCCCGUAGCCGUUGUGACGUGCAAAUCC